GCAGCCGCGGUAAUACGUAGGGGGCAAGCGUUAUCCGGAAUUAUUGGGCGUAAAGAGUGCGUAGGUGGUUACCUAAGCAGGGGGUGAAAGGCAAUGGCUCAACCAUUGUUAGCCCCCUGAACUGGGCUACUUGAGUGCAGGAGAGGAAAGCGGAAUUCCUAGUGUAGCGGUGAAAUGCGUAGAUAUUAGGAGGAACACCAGUGGCGAAGGCGGCUUUCUGGACUGUAACUGACACUGAGGCACGAAAGUGUGGGGAGCAAACAGGAUUAGAUACCCC
rnacentral:rRNA from 1 species